AAUAAGUGCAGCCAUAGAUAUCCAUAUUUAGCACUUUGACCAUCCGUCUUAUUUGAAAAUUUAAUAAAAAAUAUUAAAAAAUUAGUCACACAUAAAGUACUAUUUAUGUUUUAUCAUCCAAUAACAAUAAAAAUACUAAUCAUAAUCUUUUUUUAAAUAAGACGAACGGUCAAAUGUUAAACAUGAAUAUUGCUAAAAUUGCACUUAUU
rnacentral:pre_miRNA from 1 species